rnacentral:rRNA from 1 species
UGCAGUCGAGCGGAUGAAGGGGGCUUGUGUCCUGUUUUCGCGGCGGACGGGUGAGUAAUGCCUAGGAAUCUGCCUGGUAGUGGGGGAUAACAUCCGGAAACGGGCGCUAAUACCGCAUACAUCCUGAGGGAGAAAGUGGGGGAUCUUCGGACCUCAGCUAUCCGAUGAUCCUAAGUCGAAUUACCUACUUGGUGGGGUAUAGGUCUACCAGGGCGACGAUCCGUAACUGAUCUGACAGGAUGAUCCUGCACACUGGAACUGACACACUGUCCAUACUCCUACGGCAGGACUCCUAGGGGAAUAUUGGACAAUGGGCCAUCGCCUGAUCCAGCCAUGCCGCGGGAGUGAAGAAGGUCUUCGGAUUGUAGAGCUCUUUACGUUGGGAGGAGGGGCAGUGAAUUAAUACCUUGCUGUUUUGACGUUUCCACCUUAAUAAGCCCCGGUUAACUUCGUGCCAGUAGCCGCGGUACUACAAACGGUGCAAGCGUUAAUCGGAAUUACUGGGCGUAAAGCGCGCGUAGGUGGUUCAGCAAGUUGGAUGUGAUAUCCCCGAUGUCAACCUGGGAACUGCAUCCAAGACUACUGAGCUAAAGUACGGUAAAGGGAGGGGGAAUUACCUGUGUAGCGUUGAAAUGCGUAGAUAUAGGAAGGAACACCAGUGGCGAAGGCGACCACCUGGACUGAUACUGACGCUGAGGUGCUGAAAGCUGUGGGCGAGCAAACAGUGAUUAAAUACCCUGGAUAGUCCUACGCCCUGUAAACGAUGUCCCACUAGACCGAUUGAGUAUCCAUUGAGAUCGUAGUGUUCGCGAG